rnacentral:rRNA from 1 species
CAGUCGCCGCGGGAAUACGAACCGUGCGAACGUUAUUCGGAAUUACUGGGCUUAAAGCGCGUGUAGGCGGGUCGGCACGUCGGUCGCUGAAAUCCCCCGGCUCAACCGGGGAAGUGGCGCCGAUACGGCCGGCCUGGAGGGGGUAGGGGGGCCUGGAACUUCCGGUGGAGCGGUGAAAUGCGUUGAGAUCGGAAAGAACACCAACGGCGAAAGCACUCUGCUGGGCCGACACUGACACUGAGAGACGAAAGCUAGGGGAGCAAAUGGGAUUAGAUACCCCGGUAGUCCCUGUCUCUUAUAC